CCUACGGGUGGCUGCAGUGGGGAAUAUUGCACAAUGGGGGAAACCCUGAUGCAGCGACGCCGCGUGAAGGAAGAAGUAUUUCGGUAUGUAAACUUCUAUCAGCAGGGAAGAAAAUGACGGUACCUGAGUAAGAAGCCCCGGCUAACUACGUGCCAGCAGCCGCGGUAAUAUGGAGGGGGCAAGCGUUAUCCGGAUUUACUGGGUGUAAAGGGGGCGCAGACGGCUGCGCAAGCCAGUAGUGAAAGCCCGGGGCCCAACCCCGGGACUGCUCUUGGAACUGCGCGGCUGGAGUGCAGGAGCGGCAGGCGGAAUUCGUGGUGUAGCGGUGAAAUGCGUAGAUAUCAGGAGGAACACCGGUGGCGAAGGCGGCCUGCUGGACUGCGACUGACGUUGAGGCCCGAAAGCGUGGGGAGCAAACAGGAUUAGAUACCCGUGUAGUC
rnacentral:rRNA from 1 species